AUUGAACGCUGGCGGCAGGCCUAACACAUGCAAGUCGAGCGGAUGAAGGGAGCUUGCUCCUGGAUUCAGCGGCGGACGGGUGAGUAAUGCCUAGGAAUCUGCCUGGUAGUGGGGGAUAACGUCCGGAAACGGGCACUAAUACCGCAUACGUCCUGAGGGAGAAAGUGGGGGAUCUUCGGACCUCACGCUAUCAGAUGAGCCUAGGUCGGAUUAGCUAGUUGGUGGGGUAACGGCCUACCAAGGCGACGAUCCGUAACUGGUCUGAGAGGAUGAUCAGUCACACUGGAACUGAGACACGGUCCAGACUCCUACGGGAGGCAGCAGUGGGGAAUAUUGGACAAUGGGCGAAAGCCUGAUCCAGCCAUGCCGCGUGUGUGAAGAAGGUCUUCGGAUUGUAAAGCACUUUAAGUUGGGAGGAAGGGCAGUAAGUUAAUACCUUGCUGUUUUGACGUUACCAACAGAAUAAGCACCGGCUAACUUCGU
rnacentral:rRNA from 1 species